UAAAAAUAUAAUAAAAUACGUAUAAAAGAUCGUCAUCACUUACAAUAACGCUCCUCUCAUCUUCCAAGAAAUUACAUUAAAAGAAAGAAUGAUGCGAUCGACUGCAUUUGCUUUACUUUUGAUUGUAUUAUUCGGAAUAUUUUUUGAAGCAGAUGCCGGUUUGUGUAGUUGGAUUUGCAAGAAAGUUUGCACUUCAGAAAAAUAUUGUCGGUUUGUUUGCAAAGUCCUCUGCACUGAUCCAGAUUCUACGACGACUUUUACUUUUCCCUCUCAUUGAAGACUAACAAGAACUAUCGUAACAUGAACUAAUAAAGUAUUUUUAAAAUCUUUAA